rnacentral:rRNA from 1 species
CCUACGGUGUGCAGCAGUGAGGAAUAUUGGUCAAUGGGCGCGAGCCUGAACCAGCCAAGUAGCGUGAAGGAUGACUGCCCUACGGGUUGUAAACUUCUUUUAUAAAGGAAUCAAGUGAGGCACGUGUGCCUUUUUGUAUGUACUUUAUGAAUAAGGUACGGCUAACUCCGUGCCAGCAGCCGCGGUAAUACGGAGGAUCCGAGCGUUAUCCGGAUUUAUUGGGUUGAAAGGGAGAGUAGAUGGGUUGUUAAGUCAGUUGUGAAAGUUUGCGGAUCAACCGUAAAAUUGCCAUUGAAACUGGCGUUCUUGAGUGGAAGAGAAGUAUGCGGAAUGCGUGGGGUAGCGGUGAAAUGCAGAGAUAUCACGCAGAACCCCGAUUGCGAAGGCAGCAUGCCGGCUUCCGACUGACGCUGAAGCACGAAAGCGUGGGGAUCGAACAGGAUUAGAUACCCUUGUAGUC